rnacentral:rRNA from 1 species
GUCCACGCCGUAAACGAUGAGAACUAGGUGUCGUGGGUGUUGACCCCCGCGGUGCCGCAGCUAACGCAUUAAGUUCUCCGCCUGGGAAGUACGGCCGCAAGGCUAAAACUCAAAGGAAUUGACGGGGGCCCGCACAAGCGGUGGAGCAUGUGGUUCAAUUCGACGCAACGCGCAGAACCUUACCCAGACUUGACAUCCUUCAAGGUUGGCCCAAAAGCCGACGUGCCCGCAAUGGAAUGGAGAGACAGGUGCUGCAUGGCUGUCGU